rnacentral:rRNA from 1 species
GAUGAACGCUGGCGGCGUGCCUAAUACAUGCAAGUCGAGCGAACAGACGGGGAGCUUGCUCCUUCGACGUUAGCGGCGGACGGGUGAGUAGCACGUAGGUAACCUACCUAUAAGACUGGGAUAACUUCGGGAAACCGGAGCUAAUACCGGAUAAUAUUUCGAACCGCAUGGUUCGAUAGUGAAAGAUGGCUUUGCUAUCACUUAUAGAUGGACCUGCGCCGUAUUAGCUAGUUGGUAAGGUAACGGCUUACCAAGGCAACGAUACGUAGCCGACCUGAGAGGGUGAUCGGCCACACUGGAACUGAGACACGGUCCAGACUCCUACGGGAGGCAGCAGUAGGGAAUCUUCCGCAAUGGGCGAAAGCCUGACGGAGCAACGCCGCGUGAGUGAUGAAGGUCUUCGGAUCGUAAAACUCUGUUAUUAGCGAAGAACAAACGUGUAAGUAACUGUGCACGUCUUGACGGUACCUAAUCAGAAAGCCACGGCUAACUACGUG